rnacentral:tRNA from 1 species
UCCCUGAUAGCUCAGUUGGUAAAGAUUCUGCCUGCAAUGCAGGAGACCCCGGUUCGAUCCCUGGGUUGGGAA